UACGGGGGAGCAAGCGUUGUUCGGAUUUACUGGGCGUAAAGGGCGCGUAGGCGGUCAGCACAAGUCAGUUGUGAAUCUCCGGGCUUAACUCGGAAAGGUCAACUGAUACUGUGCGACUAGAGUGCAGAAGGGGCAACUGGAAUUCUCGGUGUAGCGGAUGAAAUGCGUAGAUAUCGAGAGGAACACCUGCGGCGAAGGCGGGUGACUGGGCCGACACUGACGCUGAUGCGCGAAAGCCAGGGAGCGAACGGG
rnacentral:rRNA from 1 species